UAGUCCACACCGUAAACGAUGAGAGCUAGUUGUCUGCAAGCAUGCUUGUAGGUGACGCAGCUAACGCAUUAAGCUCUCCGCCUGGGGAGUACGGUCGCAAGAUUAAAACUCAAAGAAAUUGACGGGGGCCCGCACAAGCGGUGGAGCAUGUGGUUUAAUUCGAAGCAACGCGCAGAACCUUACCUACCCUUGACAUGCCGGUCGCGAUUUCCAGAGAUGGAUUUCUUCAAUUCGGUUGGACCGUGCACAGGUGCUGCAUGGCCGUCGUCAGCUCGUGUCGUGAGAUGUUGGGUUAAGUCCCGCAACGAGCGCAACCCUUGUCUUUAGUUGCCAUCAUUUAGUUGGGCACUCUAGAGAGACUGCCGGUGAUAAGCCGGAGGAAGGCGGGGAUGACGUCAAGUCCUCAUGGCCCUUAUGGGUUGGGCUACACACGUGCUACAAUGGCAUCUACAGUGGGACGCUAGGCCGCAAGGUCGUGCUAAUCUCCAAAAG
rnacentral:rRNA from 1 species